UGAGAAGCUCAGGACAGCAGAGGAGACGUGGUGAGCUCCUGAUGAAGACUGUGUGUGUGUGUGUGUGUGUGUGCCCACUCAUGCUCUUCUGUCUCUAUAGCCAAGAUGUGACACCUGCUGAAUCACCAGUGAGAUUCACCUGAGUCAUUUAGCAAAGAUAAAUAGAGGCUUCAGCAGCAGCGAGACACACAGAACACUCAAGCUUCACUGACGCUUGUGUUUCACUCAAAGCACGCUUGAAAGUCAUUAGAAACAGCCAGGGCCGGCAGCGGGUCACGACCUCCACGGGCUUUCAGUGGCCGAUUCUUAAAUGUUGACAUUCGGUCGCUAGAUUGAGCUCAAGCAAGAUUUUCCAGCUUCAAAGAUUUUUCUUCGCAAUUCUCUCUCCUGCUUUGUAUUCAGCGGCAUGUCUGAGUGCAGGUCUGAAAACACAAAAGUGGGUCAGAAGCAAAUAAUUUCUUGAGCCAAGCGAAUGUCAGAAGACAUGAAGGUUCUGAGGGCAUUUUAAUAACCGCCACCAAUAUUCACCCCCGCGGACCGACAGGCGGAGAGCGGCCUGGUGACUGCAGGCUCAGGCGUGUAAUUUCAGUGCCGGAACCAAGACGUUUUAAGUAAGCCCUCGCAGUGCGCUCGUAUGAUGAAAUGCAUUGAGGCAUUUAAUGCUAAACAGACGCCCCACAAACACGGAACACAGAGAAAGGCAUCAGUCCAUUAGAAUCAGUCAAAUCAUGUGUGUUGAGGAGAGCGCUGCGAUCAGACGCACCUGCUGGACAUACAACUGCAUAGACAACCACCCCUCCAAAAAAUCAUGAAUUAAUUUCAUGGCCUGGCUGAAGGCUGGAGUUCUCGAUGUGACUGAUGGUCGUGUGAUUUCAUGGAAAGGUGAAAUGUGUCAUUUCUGCAGCAGUUAGGGCUGGGCAAGUUUUCAGAUUUUAUUGAUUCAUUCAAAUAAUUUUUGCCCCCAUUUUAUCUUUUUUUAAAUUGAGGAAUUUCAGUUUCAAAUAAAAUAUUAGCUAACAUUAUAUUUAGACACGUCAGUCCGCCAAUACUAAGAGUUGGUGUGAGCACAUGAUGAUGAAGCGUGUGUAGGCACUCUAUGAAGGAGCGUAACUGAGCGGCAGUUUACACAGAAAGCACGAGAUGUGACAGUGGGACGGGAAAAGUGCAAGGUUACGAGACACCAGUUGAACUUCUUUAAACUUGAGCACCACAUUUUUAAGAGUCAUUCACGCAGAAUGUGGUUUUUACUUUGAACAUGUUAAAUACGGGUACUGGAUUGGGAAAAACAAAAGGCAUAGUCUUUUAAAAGUCAAACAUACUUUAACUUG
ensembl:lncRNA